rnacentral:lncRNA from 1 species
CCCAGUGAUACUUUGGCUUAUGACAAGUUCCAAAAACAUCACAAAACUCAUACCAAGCACCAGGUGACAGCGGAGAGCAGCAACAAUGCUUACCCAUAGGAGAAAAACAGCCAAAGUAGCAGCUGCUGUUGAGGAGAGGAAAAGAAGUUCUGCAACAACACAGCUCUUUCAAAGAUACCAAGACAAAAAUAUAGUAGAAACAUGUAAAGUAGAAGGAUUGAGGCUUGACCACCCCCAGAAUACAAUGUACUUUAUAACUGUAUGAACAACAACAAUAGUACAAAAUAAUUUUCAUGUAUGGCAUAUUUUCUGGAGACUAAAUCAACAGGCAAGUGUUCUACCUUGGGUUACAUCGCACCCUGUUGACUGCCGGGAUGAGAGCAGAUUUGGAUAACAGGCAAUGUGGACUGCAGAUGUGCAGUUCCCUCUGCACAGAGCUACUGUUGAUUGCACAUGGGAAGGUUCAUCUUCCUCUUUUGUAUUUCCUGUCUGAGAAAGGACUCUCAGAGAAGUCCAGCACAAAAAUAAUGGGGAAUGUUUCAAGGAGGACAAACAGGCUACAGACUUUCUGAGAAGUGGAAGAUGAAGCCACUGGAAGAUUGUAGGAUGAAUGGACUGGAGGACUCUUUUGUGCAAUUAGAUGGCACCCCUAAAGAAAGGCCUUACUUCCUGUAGUUCUGGUACUGGGUUGAAUAUUAAAUGCAUUGGCACUGCAGUAUGAUUACCAAAAAAAUUUGAAAAGCAAAAUGAAUGGCAGUUCUUCCUCUCUCUAAUUAAAAAAGAUAGUUACAGCAAUUUAUUGUCAGGAUUAAUGCAGUAUCAACCAGGCAGAUGUGGUCUAUUAAACAGCUCUGUUUUGCCAAAAGAAAUUCAUUCAGCACAACUGGAUUUUAGAUUGCAUCUAAACAUCUGUGUCUAAAUAUCUAUAAUUUUAUGACAUUUUUUCCAUUCCCUUUUCUAGAUGUUUUAUUACUAGAGGGUAUUAUAG